AUUGAACGACGUCAUAUGUCGUCCUUACAGACCGCAUACGGUGACCAAGCUGUGUCGACCCUAAACGAUGUCCGAGCUUUGAAGGGAAAUCGAGAACUUGAAUGGAGUGACCUGAUGGGCUUCCCUGUGGCUGUACGAAGGAUAGAAGCGUUAAGAAAAUCCCAUUUACGAGAAUGGCUGGAAGCUCUAUUUGGAUCUGCAUAAACGUCACACGCGGUCCGAUAGGACACCAGCAGCUACAAAGACCACGGACAAAAGUUAGGCCUAUAUUUUAAAAUAAUAAAAAAUUAUCGUACUGCGUUA